rnacentral:lncRNA from 1 species
CGUCACCCUUUUGUGCCUUGCCCCAAGAGAUGAGAGGAAGAAAAAAGAAGAGAAGAGAGGGGAGAUGAGGGCAUACCGUCGCUCAUCAUCGUCGUUCCUCUCCAAGAAUUGGUUGGAUUUCCUUUCCUCUCUCUCUUUUCUCCACUUGAUGAAUGCUUUCUCUUGUUUUGGAUGAGUUUUAGGCCCUGCAAUUAGUUUUUUUGGUUGGAUUAGAUGGGAGAUUAGAUUUUGAUCUCGAAAUUAGUUUCUGCAGGAUGGCAGAUUCAACAGUUUCUGUUCAUGCAAGUUUUCCGUGAUCUUAGUGGCCUCAAAAAAUUAAAACGUCUGUCUAUGAGUCGUAGAUAAUUUGUAUAUCUUUCUGUGGCCGCGAAGAACACCUCAAUCGGACAUCAGAUCAGAAAGUUAUUGCAGUUUGAUUAUAGCAGUUUUUCAGUCUCAUAAUUCUGUGCAGAAUCUGUUCUCUUAAGAUUUAGGCAAUUUUAUCUACAGAAUUAAACUUUAGGAUUGUAAAAGAAGUUGUAGACAAUUUUAUAAGCUUUCCAGAUUGUUAAAGAGCGCAUUCAUAUGAAUUAUGAAACUCCAGUUAUGUUUGUUUUACUGUGGCUGUUCCUGUUUGCCUGACAAAAAUGAGUGGGUCUGUUCACUGGUGGGUUUCAUAUAGUAAAUAGCCGAAUUGGCUGUUCCAACUAUGGAGACAUUUGUAGAGGGAUAAAAGUUCUUACUGCCAGCAGAAUUUCAUAAUUUUUGGUUGAGUAGUUUGGUAGAUAUUGAAUUUUGAAGUUAACUAUGCUGCUGUCUGAAACAGAUUCAGACAUUUAUCUUAUCAGAUGUUUUAGAACUUAUAGAUGGCAGAAUUUAAUUAUCCAUUGAAUGCUGAAGUUGUAGAGUAUUUUGUGUAUACACUCCUAGAGUAUUUGUUUAAUAUCACCACUGUUAUAAUUUUAAAGAUACAAAAUUAACAAACAGUGUUGUUGUUGUUUGGCAUGUGGUUCAGGGUGGGAGUCUUUCCACCGGGUCUUGGUUUCAAGUGUAGGAGCGAUUUGUUGAUUGUUGGCAAAUGUUUGUGAAAUAUUUGUACUAAGUUUUAUGCCCGCUAGCAGGUGGCUACACUCCGGAUCAUGCCUAGUACAUCUUUCUUCCUCGAUGAAGGCAAGUGAAUGUAGUAGUGGUUUCUACCGUUUUGACUUGUUGUUUUUUUAUCGCCUACACUCUAAUAUUCAGAAUUAUAGAAUUCUUUCAUAAUUGAACUCUAUGGUGAUGCUUUACUUGAUUGUAUUAUACUGAUGCUCAAUCAUAUAUUGAUGAUGAUUAUGGUUCGAGUAUGACCCAUGAGAUUAAUUUACACCCGUGAAGGCAGAUAAAGUAUUAUUUGAGGUUUGUAUCGUAUCUGAAGGCAGAUGAAGUAUUAUUUGAGGUUUGUUUUGUAUCUGAAGGAAGUGAAGUGUAUUGAUAAAUACAGCAUGCCAUAUGCAUUACAUGAUUCAUUUGCAUCUGAAGUUUGGUCGUGACCUAUGGUCCGACUGUACCGGUACAACUUAGCAUCGUACGUUGCCCGAGGAGGGGUACGAUGCGGCUUCAUACCCUUAGAGGUAUGAAGGCAGAGGACAUAUGCAUUGCAUUUAUAUGCAUUCAUUGAAGUGAUAUUAGCAGAUGAUGUGGUUUUAUACUCUCAGAGGUAUGAGGGCAGAUGACCUACACAUUGCAUUCCUAUGCAUACAUUGAAGUGAUAUCUGCAGGUAUUGUUGACGCAGGGAAGGGUUAUACAACCUAUUGUGGUUGUUCGAGGAAAUGAGAUGGUAUUGGUUAUAUUGGGACUAUUGAGUUCUAUAUCUACAAGUAUUUCUGAUCUCAAUUGUGAUUCCUUUAAAAUGUUGUUUAAUUCAAUUUGUGGUUUAAAUAUCUCGUCAAAACAAUUUGCUUGCUGAGAUGUAUCAUCUCACUCUUGCAUUACUCAAUGCAGGUACUUGAUUCAUGUUGGGAAUGAGGGAAGUAGCAGCACGUUCACCUUCACUAUUAUAAUAACGAUGCCCAGUUGCAGCCAUGAUUUAAUUAGAAACUCGAUGACAAAUGAUGUUUGUUUUUUCCUAGUCGUGUGCACUGGUUAAUUCAGUUCAUGUCGUUAUGUUUAACUUUCCUUUGCUAGCAGAUUAAUAAUGCUUAGUAUGUUUUUUUUCAUGAUAUAUGUUUAUACACUGUUGCCCC